UGGGGAAUUUUGCACAAUGGGGGAAACCCUGAUGCAGCGACGCCGCGUGAUUUAGAAGGCCUUCGGGUUGUAAAAAUCUUUUCUAUGGGAAGAAAAUGACAGUACCAUAGGAAUAAGGACCGGCUAAUUACGUGCCAACAGCCGCGGUAAUACGUAAGGUCCGAGCGUUGUCCGGAAUCAUUGGGCGUAAAGGGUACGUAGGCGGGUAAGCAAGUUAGAAGUGAAAUCCUAUAGCUCAACUAUAGUAAGCUUUUAAAACUGCUCAUCUUGAGGUAUGGAAGGGAAAGUGGAAUUCCUAGUGUAGCGGUGAAAUGCGCAGAUAUUAGGAGGAAUACCGGUGGCGAAGGCGACUUUCUGGCCAUAACCUGACGCUGAGGUACGAAAGCGUGGGUAGCAAACAGG
rnacentral:rRNA from 1 species